rnacentral:rRNA from 1 species
CAGGGUACUCGAGUGGCGAACGGGUGAGUAACACGUGGGUGAUCUGCCCUGCACUUCGGGAUAAGCUUGGGAAACUGGGUCUAAUACCGGAUAGGACCGCACUUUAGUGUGUGUGGUGGAAAGUUUUUUCGGUGUAGGAUGAGCCCGCGGCCUAUCAGCUUGUUGGUGGGGUAAUGGCCUACCAAGGCGGCGACGGGUAGCCGGACUGAGAGGUUGGUCGGCCACAUUGGGACUGAGAUACGGCCCAG